GCAAGUCGAACGCUCUCGAUCUUCGGAACAAUGAGAGAGUGGCGAACGGGUGAGUAACACGUAAGGAACCUGCCCCAAAGACGAGGAUAACUAUUGGAAACGAUAGCUAAUACUGGAUAGGAUAUAAAAUCGCAUGAUUUAAUAUUUAAAGGCGCGUAUGCGUCGCUUUGGGAUGGCCUUUCGCUGUAUUAGAUAGUUGGUGAGGUAACGGCUCACCAAGUCUGUGAUACAUAGCUGGACUGAGAGGUUGAAC
rnacentral:rRNA from 1 species